GGACCCAGCACCAGGGGGCCAGCGUCGGCAACUAAACGCAGCCCCCUGCAGGCUGGCUGGUUUAAUCCCCAGGGGGAGCUGACAACUGGACGCAGCCAACUCCUAUCUCUCACACGCAAAGCCUUGGAGCAUGCAUAGAGCCAACAGCUAUGAGCCAAUAGAUUGCACCUGUGGUCUAGAUGAAGAUGUUGUACAGAUUACAGAUCCCUUUGCAAUCCAAGGCUACGGAAGAGAUUAAUAUCACCUAGAGUGAAGCAAAGG